UCUGUCUUCCACUUUUGUUCAAACAAACAUGACAAGAGUACGAUUAAAAGUAUUUCACCUGGCAGUCAGGACUCCGUUCAACUGAAUAAAAACACCUAAAACAGGAGCUAUGUGAUUUAAAGGGGUAAAAGAGUUAAAAUCAAGAGGAGAAAGGUAUUUUAUCUUCACUAUCUAAGAACAAGCAAGUUUUAUCAAAAGAUGUUACAUCAUCUGUGUACUUCUGACUUUUAUUGGAGUUUCCCAGAUGUUAAAAGUUGGGGGUGUCAUUGGAGAAUAUGUGGUCUUGAAUUGUUCUUUCACAAACAACAAUUCUGAAGAGAUUUCGGUUCACUGGAGAGAUGGUAAUGGCAAGAGUGUGUAUGACAUUAUCAAUGGAUCUGGAAAAGCUGGUUCAGAGUACCAGGGAAGAGCUACAAGUUUCAGUGAAGAGUAUCAGAAUGGAAACUACUCCAUUAAAAUCAAACCCCUUCAAGGAUCUGAUGCAGGAACAUAUCAGUGUCUUAUCACAUGCAACUCAAGACAACAUUCUGAAAGUGCAGAGCUUUAUUUUUUUAAGGAGAAACCAGGAGAAAAGGAUCCAAUUGAAUCAAAAGGGAUCUCUUCGGCAAAUGAGCUUUAUGCUGUUCUGUUUAUGUGCUUAUUUUUUACUGUUUUAUAUGCUAAAGUUGCCUAGUAAUUUUGCAGUACGGAGACUUUUGUACAAAGACAAUACAGUACGAUUACUUCAACUACCAAAGAUGCGUUUCUCGAUAAUCUGCCUGAAUUGUCUAAAAUAUCCAGCAUGAGUAAUAACGUUGACGAUUUUGACACUACUAUUGAACAUUUUAACUCUACUUUCUCGGAAAUAUUAGACACAGUUGCUCCUCUGCGUUUAAAGAAAAUUAAAAAUAGCAGCCCAACACCGUGGUAUAAUGAACACACUCAGACUCUAAAAAAAGCAUCCCGUAAAAUGGAGCGCAACUUUAAGAAAACGAAUUUAGAGGUAUUUCGUAUAGCAUGGAAGGAUAGUACUCGAAAUUACAGGAAUGCAAUAAAAACGUCUAGAUCCGCCUACUUUUCAACACUAAUAGAGGAAAACCAUCACAACCCUAGGUUCUUAUUUAACACCGUGGCUAAAUUAACAAAAAAUAAGUCGUCAUCGACGUCAGAUUCUGAUUAUCAGCAUAACAGUGAUGAAUUUAUGAACUACUUCACAAGUAAAAUCCAAGAUAUAAGAGAAAAAAUUAUAACAAUGCAACCUGUAGUGAAAUCCGCUGAACAAACUAACUACAGCACCCCUAAGGAGAAAUUGCAAUUAUUUUCUACAGUAGAUCACGAUGAACUGUCUAAAAUCAUUAAAUCAUCUAAAUCAUCAACAUGCAUGCUAGACCCUAUACCUACAAAACUACUGAAAGAAAUGCUCCCCGAAAU